UUGGUUUGGGAAAAGUUUCAUUUGAAGUUAGAGUUUUGAAUUGAUUUCAUCUAAGUACUUUUUAACUGUUGACAAUGUAAUGUUCAAGACACUUCCUUGCUAUUUUUCAACUGCAGGCCUCUGGAACUGUGUGCCAAGGUGAAUCAUCACCAUUGAUUUUUAUUAUGGAGAAUUUGUAAUGUCUCUUGGUUCCUCGGUCGUAGAAUGGUGAAGCUAUGUCAAAGGAAAUAAUUGAACUAAUUCUGAUUAUGCUUUUAUGAGAUCAUCCAAAUAAUUGAAGGUAUUCAUUGACAUCUACUUUUCAUAUUAUGCUUAAUGAAUCAUUAUUUUUGUUGGUUGUUGAUUUUGAUGUUUUUGGUUUUUUAUUAGUUGAUGCGCUUUUAAAUUUCUUUAGCACAUUGGUUGAUUUACUUUGGUUUUAUUGAAUUUCUAACUUUAUGGGUUUGGUAAGUUGUUGGUGAGGCAGAGAGGGUGUGUGGUAGAGGAGGGAAAGACAAAGAAGGUGGUGGCAAUGUGAUGGGGGAAUAAAUUUGAAAAAAACCAAAUAUUUAGUUUUAGAGAAAAUUCUAUAUAACAAGGAAGGGUAGUAUUUGAUCCAAUGAUUAGGAUUGCUUCUCCCUUUCAUCCACGGUCCAUUUCUGACACUGAUUUUGAAAAUGUAUUUGUCCUAUGUGGCAAUUUGGAUGGUCUAGAUUAAUUUAAUCCAAUAGUCUAUUUUUUAACACUUCACCCAUCUCAGAUUCUAGAUAUCUCUCAACUCCUCCUCAGCUUUGCCCCUUUCUCUUACCCACCAUCUCAUCAAAGUCUAAUUUUUGUUGUCUAGGUUUUCUAAUUUUUGCUUUCACUAUUUUUGUGCCUUUUUCAUUACAUAAUGAGCUUUUCCUUUUUUGGUUUUUUCCUUUUCCCAUUAUGCCAACUAAUAGAUCUCUAAAAACAUUUCUAUUUUUAACUCAAGCU